rnacentral:rRNA from 1 species
UGCCAGCAGCCGCGGUAAUACAUAGGGUGCAAGCGUUGUCCGGAAUUACUGGGCGUAAAGAGCUCGUAGGUGGUUUGUCACGUCGUCCGUGAAAUUCCACAGCUUAACUGUGGGCGUGCAGGCGAUACGGGCUGACUUGAGUACUGUAGGGGUAACUGGAAUUCCUGGUGUAGCGGUGAAACGCGCAGAUAUCAGGAGGAACACCGAUGGCGAAGGCAGGUUACUGGGCAGUUACUGACGCUGAGGAGCGAAAGCAUGGGUAGCAAACAGGAUUAGAUAC